CAGCAGCCGCGGUAAUACGUAGGUGGCAAGCGUUGUCCGGAAUUAUUGGGCGUAAAGCGCGCGCAGGUGGUUUAAUAAGUCUGAUGUGAAAGCCCACGGCUCAACCGUGGAGGGUCAUUGGAAACUGUUAAACUUGUGUGCAGGAGAGAAAAGUGGAAUUCCUAGUGUAGCGGUGAAAUGCGUAGAGAUGUGGAGGAACACCUGUGGCGAAGGCGACUCUCUGGUCUGUAACUGACGCUGAGGAGCGAAAGCGUGGGGAGCGAACAGGAUUAGAUACCCCAGUAGUCCCUGUCUCUUAUAC
rnacentral:rRNA from 1 species